AAAAAAUUAGUUUAAAUAAAACCUUAGUAUGUCAAACUAAAAAUAUUAAUCAUUUAAUAUUUUUUA
rnacentral:tRNA from 1 species